UACGCCCAAAUCACAUUGUAACACCAGUUCCCGUACGAUCAUCGAAGUGAAGCAACCUGGAGUCUGGUCCGUACCGAAAUGGGUAACCACGUAGGAAUACCAGGUACUGUAAG